rnacentral:misc_RNA from 1 species
GAUGAAGAACGCAGCGAAAUGCGAUAAGUAAUGUGAAUUGCAGAAUUCAGUGAAUCAUCGAAUCUUUGAACGCACAUUGCGCCCGCCAGUAUUCUGGCGGGCAUGCCUGUUCGAGCGUCAUUUCAACCAUCAAGCCCCCGGCUUGUGUUGGGGACCUGCGGCUGCCGCAGGCCCUGAAAAGCAGUGGCGUGCUCGCUGUCACACCGAGCGUAGUAGAUUUCAUCUCGCUCAGGGCGUGCUGCGGGUUCCGGCCGUUAAACCACCUUCAUAACCCAAGGUUGACCUCGGAUCAGGUAGGAAGACCCGCUGAACUUAAGCAUAUCAAUAAGCGGAGGA